rnacentral:rRNA from 1 species
CUACGGGCUGCUCCAGUGGGGAAUAUUGCACAAUGGGCGCAAGCCUGAUGCAGCCAUGCCGCGUGUAUGAAGAAGGCCUUCGGGUUGUAAAGUACUUUCAGCGGGGAGGAAGGGAGUAAAGUUAAUACCUUUGCUCAUUGACGUUACCCGCAGAAGAAGCACCGGCUAACUCCGUGCCAGCAGCCGCGGUAAUACGGAGGGUGCAAGCGUUAAUCGGAAUUACUGGGCGUAAAGCGCACGCAGGCGGUUUGUUAAGUCAGAUGGGAAAUCCCCGGGCUCAACCUGGGAACUGCAUCUGAUACUGGCAAGCGUGAGUCUCGUAGAGGGGGGUAGAAUUCCAGGUGUAGCGGUGAAAUGCGUAGAGAUCUGGAGGAAUACCGGUGGCGAAGGCGGCCCCCUGGACGAAGACUGACGCUCAGGUGCGAAAGCGUGGGGAGCAAACAGGAUUAGAUACCCGUGUAGUC